ACCUUGCUGCAGAGCCUCUAGUCAAAUUCAGUGGUUUGCUUGCGUAUGCUCACAAAUAUGUUUCCCGAUUCCACACAACGCACGAAUCCUAAAACUAAUGCAGUUUGCUCACAGCUGGAAAAUCAUUAAACCAAAUUGUAGAUGGCAUUGAGGAACUGGGUAUUUGAAGCCCCUGAGUCUGCAGCGUUUGGAGCCAUGGAGUGCCCGCCAGCUACUGACGAUCCCUCUGCCCUCACUGGUGUCCCUGCUGGAGCUCCAACCUUGCCUCAGCCGCAAACUGUUUUUGCAGGUGCUCGGCUGCUGAAUCUGCAGCAGCUCGUUCCAGCAGUCCACACAGUGCUCCUGCGAGGGGGUGAAGGUCAAACUUUACAGCAUCCAGAUCCAAAAGGCCUCCUGCUAGCACGACUGGAAUUCACAUUUUUUAUCUUCUUGCCAUUGCCCAUCACAGUAUCAUGGUGAUCAGUAGUUCAGUAGUUAGUUGGGCAAAAGCCUUUUAGUAUCUUGGAGCAAUGAUCCCCAACAUUACCAGCAUUCCUGCAUGCUGUCAGAGGGGUCCACUGCCAAGAACACUGAUGUAAUUCAACCCUACAUAAACUACAAACUGGUCAGCUCAGACAUGCUGAAAGAUGAGUCUGGCAAGCUUGGUGACAAGAAUCUGGCAUGCAGACAUUUUUUUCCAUUUUUGGGUAGAAAAACAAACCCAUCGUAGUUCUAAUAGAAAGAAAUAUUUAAUCUCUUGUCCUUAUCUCACAAAAUCUUAAACAGUCAUUGUGAAUUCCCACUUGUCAGUGUUACUUUUGAUGUAGGAGUUCAGCUGCUCAUUGAGGCAAUUAAUUUAUUUGAAAUUAUUUUCCCAGUGGUAUGCACAAACAACUUGUAGGAAUCUGUCAACAACCUAAUCUGCAUUCACAAUCACCCAGCUGUUUCUGUGGGAUGGUACAGAGUUCAUUCAGAGUGUUAUUCUUCAUAGUUUCAUCUGUGAAAAGUUUCUGUUUUAUUUUUGACUCAGAUCUGGUUGAGGGUUGACAUUGUUCUGAUUAUGACAUUUUCAGGUCCCUGCACAUUGUUUUUGGCAGUUGUUUUUCAAAACCUUUUUGAGGUCCCUGUUCAGUCCACUGACCAUUACUUUGACCGUUACACUCAAGCAAAGGAUUGGUAAUGUCUACAGCUAACCUGAGAUGGUCCUAAUCUUACCUGCAAAAUGGAAAAUUGUAUCAUUCCACUGGGGAUCAUGUUUCCUUUUUCCUUAUUUAAAUAUGGUGUACCUCAAGGCUCCAUUUCAGGUCCACUUGCAUUCUCAUUGCAACUACUGUAUGUUUCUGUCCAAUACUGCACUUUUUUUGUUAAAAUCUGUCUAUAAACCCA